CACCACUCAAGCCUGGCUUGGUAUUGGGCGGCGGGCCACCCCCGCGCCUCAAUUUCACCGGCUGGACGACCUCUAUCUCAGCGUUGUGGCAAACAAUUCCGCUGGCGAGACGGGGCGGCCGCGCCGUUAAAACUUUUAUCUCA
rnacentral:misc_RNA from 1 species